rnacentral:lncRNA from 1 species
CGCCUCCCCCCCCCCCCCCCAGCCGCCAGCCUUCAGCCCUGAAAAGGAGGUCUCUACCCCGGGUUUCUGCUGCUGGUGGAACCGGGCGGGGGACAAGGCGGGUUCACCCAGGAUGCGAACGGGGCGGUCCUCUAGGAAGGCUUGGCCGGCUUACAAGACUAGAGUCAAUCAGUGGGGAUGUCGGGCAGACCAGGGGUGAUGACCAGAGCCCACGAAAUGGGGGUCUUCAGGAGUGCGAGGCGCGCAGAAAGGCAUGGGAGGGCCUCGGAACCGCGGCCCUGGCGCGGGUGUGCAGAAGCUUAGAUCCGCCCACCCAAGAGCUCCUAAUGGCCCGGUACAGGGAGGCGAGGAUAGCAAUGGGGGCGGGGGCGGGGGGAGGGUUCUUCUCGGUGUUUCGAGUAACAUCAAGCCGGGAGGCAGAGCUGUUCAAGGUGAAUCCUAGAUGGCUCCUAGGCCCUUUCCCCUGGGAGAGGAAAGGGGGACAGGACCCAAAAUGA